rnacentral:rRNA from 1 species
GACGAACGCUGGCGGCGUGCUUAACACAUGCAAGUCGAACGGAAAGGCCCUGCUCUUGUGGGGUGCUCGAUUGGCGAACGCGUGAGUAACACGUGAGUAACCUGCCCUUGACUUUGGGAUAACUUCAGGGAACUGGGGCUAAUACCGGAUAGGAGCUCCUGCUGCAUGGUGGGGGAUGGAAAGUUUCGGCGGUUGGGGCUGGUCUAGCGGCUUAUCAGCUUGAUGGGGGGGUAGGGGCUUCCCACGGCUUUGACGGGUAGCCGGCCUUGGAGGGUGAACGGGCACCAUGGGACUGCGGUACGGCCCAGACUCCUACGGGAGGCAACAGGGGGGAAUCUUGCGCAGUGGGCCGAAGCCUGAUGCAGCAACGCCGCGUGCGGGAUGACGGCCUUCGGGUUGUAAACCGCUUUCGCCUGUGACGAAGCGUGAGUGACGGUAAUGGGUAAAGAAGCACCGGCUAACUACGUG